AGCGUAGACGGAUGGACAAGUCUGACGUGAAAGGCUGGGGCUCAACCCCGGGACUGCAUUGGAAACUGCCCGUCUUGAGUGCCGGAGAGGUAAGCGGAAUUCCUAGUGUAGCGGUGAAAUGCGUAGAUAUUAGGAGGAACACCAGUGGCGAAGGCGGCUUACUGGACGGUAACUGACGCUGAGGCUCGAAAGCCAGGGGAGCGAACG
rnacentral:rRNA from 1 species